rnacentral:ncRNA from 2 species
GGCUCAGUUCAGCAGGAACAGU